UACGAAGGGGGCUAGCGUUGUUCGGAAUUACUGGGCGUAAAGCGCGCGCAGGCGGUUCUUCAAGUCAGAGGUGAAAGCCCAGAGCUCAACUCUGGAAUGGCCUUUGAGACUAGAGAACUAGGGUACGGGAGAGGUGAGUGGAAUUCCGAGUGUAGAGGUGAAAUUCGUAGAUAUUGGGAAGAACACCGGUGGCGAAGGCGGCUAUCUGGCCCGUAAUUGACGCUGAGGCGCGAAAGCGUGGGGAGCAAACAGG
rnacentral:rRNA from 1 species